AAAAAGACAAACCCUAGUUUCCGUGUCCAAUGUUUGACCAUUCGUCUUAUUUAAAAAAAUUAUGAAAAAAAAAAAUUAGAAAGACAAGUCACGCAUAAAAUAUUAAUCAUGUUUUAUCAUCUAACAACAAUGAAAAUACAAAUUAUAAAAAAAUUUCAUAUAAGACGGACAGUUAAAGUUGGACACGGAAACCCAUGAUUUGUCUUUUU
rnacentral:pre_miRNA from 1 species